GCCAGCUUGAUGUUUUAAAUCUUGAGCAUAAAAAUUUAAAGGCUUAUUCAAUUUUUACCAUUUUAGUGAAUAUAUUUGAAAUCUGUUUUUACAGUUUAUUUUGGUAAAUUGUGCCAUGAAAUUUGAAAACCACCAAAAAUUAUAAAUUCCUUUUCUAGUGUAAUGUUAAGUUGUAUAGAUUAUUAAUGCAUGUCCAAUGAAUAUUACCCUGGUUUUGAGAUAAAUCUGCUUAGAUUUUAUUGGUGACAUGUUAGAUUAGUGGUUGCAUUAAAUAACUAAAUUCCUAUUGUGGUUAUUAAUUGAAAUUGUCUUUAAGCAGAAAGUUAUUUGUGACUAUAAGCAUUGUGCUUAGAGAAUAUGUGUUUUUAUCUGUCAGUAUGGGAGGACAUAAACUGUUUGCAUCAUUUAAAAA
rnacentral:lncRNA from 1 species